CUUUUGAUAAUAAUUUAAGGUCUGACCUGCCCUAUGAAUAUCUUUAUUUAAAUGGCUGCGGUAUACUGACCGUGCAAAGGUAGCAUAAUCAUUAGUUUUUUAAUUGAAAGCUUGUAUGAAAGGUUUGAUGAGAAAAUAGCUGUCUCUAUAAAAAUUUAUUAGAAUUUUAUUUUUAAGUUAAAAAGCUUAAAUAAUUAUAAAAGACGAGAAGACCCUAUAGAGUUUUAUAUUUUAUUAAUUUAUUUGKUUUAGUAUUUUAAAUUUUAUUUUAAUAAAAUAUUUAGUUGGGAUGAUUGAAAAAUUAAAUAAACUUUUUUUUUAUCACUACAUUAAUUUAUGAGUAAUUGAUCCUUUUUUUAAGAUUACAAGAUUAAAUUACCUUAGGGAUAACAGCGUAAUUUUUUUUGAGAGUUCAAAUCGAUAAAAAAGAUUGCGACCUCGAUGUUGGAUUAAAAUUAAUUUUUGGBGUAGUAGCUAAA
rnacentral:rRNA from 1 species